rnacentral:rRNA from 1 species
ACGAACGCUGGCGGCGUGCUUAACACCUGCCAGUCGAACGGAAAGGCCCCUUUGGGGGUACUCGAGUGGCGAACGGGUGAGUAACACGUGAGUAACCUGCCCUUGACUUCGGGAUAACUUCAGGCAACUGGGGCUAAUACCGGAUAGGAAUCCUUGCUGCAUGGUGGGGGUUGGAAAGCUUCGGCGGUUUUGGAUGGACUCGCGGCUUAUCAGCUUGUUGGUGGGGUAGUGGCUUACCAAGGCUUUGACGGGUAGCCGGCCUGAGAGGGCGACCGGCCACAUUGGGACUGAGAUACGGCCCAGACUCCUACGGGAGGCAGCAGUGGGGAAGAUUGCACAAUGGGCGGAAGCCUGAUGCAGCAACGCCGCGUGCGGGAUGACGGCCUUCGGGUUGUAAACCGCUUUCAGCAGGGGCGAAGCUUGUGGUGACGGUACCUGCAGAAGAAGCACCGGCUAACUACGUG